AUUGGAGGAAAGCAGGGGAUCGCAAGACCUUGCGCUUUUGGAGCGGCCGAUGUCUGAUUAGCUAGUUGCUGAGGUAAAGGCUUACCAAGGCGUCGAUCAGUAGCUGGUCUGAGAGGACGACCAGCGACACUGGGACUGAGACACGGCCCAGACUCCUACGGGAGGCAGCAGUGGGGAAUUUUGGACAAUGGGGGAAACCCUGAUCCAGCCAUGCCGCGUGAGUGAAGAAGGCCUUCGGGUUGUAAAGCUCUUUCAGCCGGAACGAAACGGUCACAGCUAAUACCUGUGACUACUGACGGUACCGGAAGAAGAAGCACCGGCUAACUACGUGCCAGCAGCCGCGGUAAUACGUAGGGUGCGAGCGUUAAUCGGAAUUACUGGGCGUAAAGCGUGCGCAGGCGGUUUUGUAAGUCAGAUGUGAAAUCCCCGGGCUUAACGUGGGAACUGCGUUUGAAACUACAAGGCUAGAAU
rnacentral:rRNA from 1 species